UAGGGAAUCUUCCGCAAUGGACGCAAGUCUGACGGAGCAACGCCGCGUGAGUGAAGAAGAUUUUCGGAUCGUAAAACUCUGUUGUUAGAGAAGAACAAGUGCUAGAGUAACUGUUAGCGCCUUGACGGUAUCUAACCAGAAAGCCACGGCUAACUACGUGCCAGCAGCCGCGGUAAUACGUAGGUGGCAAGCGUUGUCCGGAUUUAUUGGGCGUAAAGCGAGCGCAGGCGGUUCCUUAAGUCUGAUGUGAAAGCCCCCGGCUCAACCGGGGAGGGUCAUUGGAAACUGGGGAACUUGAGUGCAGAAGAGGAGAGUGGAAUUCCAUGUGUAGCGGUGAAAUGCGUAGAUAUAUGGAGGAACACCAGUGGCGAAGGCGACUCUCUGGUCUGUAACUGACGCUGAGGCUCGAAAGCGUGGGUAGCAAACAGGAUUAGAUACCCUGGUAGUCCACGCCGUAAACGAUGAGUGCUAAGUGUUGGAGGGUUUCCGCCCUUCAGUGCUGCAGUUAACGCAUUAAGCACUCCGCCUGGGGAGUACGACCGCAAGGUUG
rnacentral:rRNA from 1 species